GUUCCAGGAAGGGACGGCACCGGCACCGGCAGCGCCAGCACGCGCGUCACGACCUUCAAACUGGUGGCGGCCUCAAAGACAAACGGACGCGGUUCCCUUCAGACGUCAGUGCGGUUAAAAACAUAAGAGAUCCUCUGCAACAGCCAGGGAUGAAGCCAGUGUUAGUGAUGGAACGCCACAGAAAGUACAUGAUGCCAUCAGAUGUGGCGGAGACGAAUCCAGAAUCAAGCAAUCGUUGAUCCAACAGCCUCCUGUACGUGGCGAUCUCCAUCUCCAGGUUCUGUUUGAUGCGCAGCAGCUGCUCGUAGUCGGUUUUGUUGCGCUGCAUGUCCAGACGCAGCUGAGACAGCUCAUCCUCCAGCUGG